rnacentral:rRNA from 1 species
ACAGAGGAGGCGAGCGUUGUUCGGAAUUAUUGGGCUUAAAGCGCGUGUAGGCGGCUCGGAAAGUGUCGUGUGAAAUCCAACGGCUCAACCGUUGAACGGCACGGCAAACUACCGGGCUUGAGGUUGGUAGAGGUGCCUGGAACUCUAGGUGGAGCGGUGAAAUGCGUAGAUAUCUAGAGGAACGCCAGAAGCGAAAGCGGGGCACUGGGCCAAAUCUGACGCUGAGACGCGAAAGCGUGGGGAGCAAACAG